rnacentral:lncRNA from 1 species
GUCUGGUUUCCUUUCUUCGUUGUUGCAGUGGUUUCCAUUUUAGGUGGUCUAUCAUUUCUGUGACACUUGCAGUUGGUUUGUACUUAUUUGUAUCUUGCAGCUCUUCUUUGUAUCUGUUCUAUUUUGUAGAUUGAUUCUUUUGUUGCUGGGUCCCAGACAGAUGCUGCAUAUUCUAAUUGUGGUCUUACUAGUCCAAUAUAAGCU